AUACAAAUUUUGUGUGCAAUAAAUACAUUUUACAUGCUUUAUUUUUACUUUCUUGUAGCAUAACACUUUUUGAGUGCAUAUAAAAAAUUUUAUUCAAAGUUUCUUUUGGCAACCAAAAGAGCAACUAAAGAUACAUUAUAAAGAUGCAGGUGGGAGAGACACAAAUCCAAGCAAAUAGAAUGAAAUGAUUCAGGACUAAAUUAUAAAAGUCUUAUGGAUGGUAUUUCAAAUGCUAGCAUCAAUAAAGACAUAUAAAUAACUGAAACCAACAAA
rnacentral:misc_RNA from 1 species